GAAGAGCACGAGCACAGUCACGCGGGUGGCGAUCUCGAAGCCACGCCACAGGAAGACGCACAGAGGCUGAGUACCAAGAAAUUUACCACCGGUAACUUCUGUUCUACACCACCGGACUGCACCUGAACACAUUCUAAUGUGUGUCCUCAAAUAUGCAGAGCCACUUUUUGAACGUGAGAAAUUCAGCACAUCUGAAGUGAAUCUACACUGACAGUUUUCUGCUUCCUGGAAGAUUUGCUGUGGGCUUACAUGACCAGUCUACUGGAGUGUGGUGACGCUUGCGAUAAGUUAAAUGUCUCUUUGCUAAAGCUCUUAGCAAAUAUGAGCUCAUUAUAAAUGAUGGGAAACCAUAAAAUGAGCAAUGUGUGAGUUGGAAAUCAGUGAAGCUAUGCUUAACUGCCCGAGCUGGUUAGAGUAUGCUCCAAAAUGUACUCUGACAUUCUGUACAUCACUAUAAUAACAGUAAAACCGUGGAAGCAGAA